AGCUGGUCCGAUGGUAGUGGGUUAUCAGAACUUAUUAACAUCAGUGUCACUAAAGUUGGUAUUCAACCCCCCACUGCUAAAUUUGACUGGAUUUAA
rnacentral:Y_RNA from 1 species